AACGAACGCUGGCGGCAUGCCUAACACAUGCAAGUCGAGCGCCCGUAGCAAUACGGGAGCGGCGCACGGGUGAGUAGCGCGUGGGAACCUGCCCAGAGGUUCGGGACAACCGCGGGAAACUGCGGCUGAUACCGGAUGAUGCCUGAGGGCCAAAGAUUUAUCGCCUUUGGAGGGGCCCGCGUCGGAUUAGGUAGUUGGUGAGGUAACGGCUCACCAAGCCUGUGAUCCGUAGCGGUCUGAGAGGAUGAUCAGCCACACUGGGACUGAGACACGGCCCAGACUCCUACGGGAGGCAGCAGUGGGGAGUAUUGGACAAUGGGGGCAACCCUGAUCCAGCAAUGCCGCGU
rnacentral:rRNA from 1 species